GCGUAGUUCAAAGUUGCUUGUAGCUGUUGACGGACGUCGGACCACGGAUUUCUUGUUCAUUCACUUUUUAAUUGUCAAAUCUGUUGGCAAUUCAGUGAUACAUUUUCAUACUGCAUUUCUGGUGGAAUCUUUAUUUCCGACAUGGAACGAAGUGGUGGAGCGUCAACUUCGGGUCCUGGAAAUCGUGUACUGAGUGUCGAGGAACUCAACUGCCUGAGAUGUUCACUGAUUGAAAAUGUAGCGAAUAUACCCCUGCCAGGUGAGGAGCAAGGAGCUGUAGAAGUAGAGG